GAUGAACGCUAGCGGCAGGCUUAAUACAUGCAAGUCGAGGGGCAGCAUGAGUGUAGCAAUACAUUUGAUGGCGACCGGCAAACGGGUGCGGAACACGUACACAACCUUCCUAUAAGUGGGGAAUAGCCCAGAGAAAUUUGGAUUAAUACCCCGUAACAUAAUGAUGUGGCAUCACAUUAUUAUUAUAGCUUCGGCGCUUAUUGAUGGGUGUGCGGCUGAUUAGAUAGUUGGCGGGGUAACGGCCCACCAAGUCUACGAUCAGUAGCUGAUGUGAGAGCAUGAUCAGCCACACGGGCACUGAGACCCGGGCCCGACUCCUACGGGAGGCGGCAGUAAGGAAUAUUGGUCAAUGGACGCAAGUCUGAACCAGCCAUGCCGCGUGAAGGAUUAAGGUCCUCUGGAUUGUAAACUGCUUUUGUUAGGGAAGAAACCCUCGGAUGCGUUCGAGGCUGACGGUACCUAAAGAAUAAGGAUCGGCUAACUCCGUGCCAGCAGCCGCCGUAAUAC
rnacentral:rRNA from 1 species